rnacentral:lncRNA from 1 species
UAAAUAGCUUUACCUUUGGACAUGAUAAUGGGUUAGUUGUUUAUCUAUUUCAUUGUACAUGCAUUCAUAUAUUUAUGAUUGGGCAUAGUAGCGUAGCUUUACUUCUGUCAUUUACCGCUUUCCUUAUCUAUCUAUCUAUCGAUUAUCUACUUUUGCCCUCUUGGACCUAGUGGGGAGAUCGGCGGAGUCGGCGACCGAACCCACUGGGAACUAUGAAAGAUAGUUCUCACCCCACUUUUUACAGGUUCGAGUUUGGGCAUCCCCGGUGAGCGUGAGGAUCGUGGUAAGGGCCCGGCGCUCUAGUCGCAUUAGUUACCUCCCUUUUGCAUUAGCUGUCACCCUUUUUGUAUUUGAGAGUAGAUGUUGUAUAGGGUGAGGUUCGAGUGAUUGUAUUUAUAUCUUGGAAGAAUGUAAAAGAGGUAAUUAAAUAUAGUAAGUCAAAUGAAUGUAAUAGAUAGCUUCUUCUCUCUUUAUGUACUCGUGUAUAAUUUUAUACUUGUAUCUUGCUCUCGUCUUGUGGCACUAGUGGUGCUUCUUG